rnacentral:rRNA from 1 species
UACGAGUACCCCAAGCGUUAUCCGGAAUCAUUGGGCGUAAAGAGCUCGUAGGCGGUUCAGCAAGUCGGCUGUGAAAUUCCGAGGCUCAACCUCGGAACUGCAGCCGAUACUGCUGUGACUCGAGUCCGGUAGAGGAGAAUGGAAUUCCCGGUGUAGCGGUGAAAUGCGCAGAUAUCAGGAGGAACACCAGUGGCGAAGGCGCCGCUCUGGGCCGUGACUGACGCUGAGGAGCGAAAUCGUGGUUAGCAAACAGG